CCACGAGUACCGCAGGGGACAGGGGUAAGAACUCCGGCGGCGUGAGAUGGACCCGCGUCUGAUUAGGUAGUUGGUGGGGCAACGGCCCACCAAGCCAACGAUCAGCACCCGACCUGAAAGGGUGCCCGGCCCCAUUGCUAAUGAGACACGGCCCAGACUCCUACGGGAGGCAGCAGUGGGGAAUCUUGCGCAAUGGGGGGAACCCUGACGCAGCGACGCCGCGUGCGGGACGGAGGCCUUCGGGUCGUAAACCGCUUUCAGCAGGGAAGAGUCAAGACUGUACCUGCAGAAGAAGCCCCGGCUAACUACGUGCCAGCAGCCGCGGUAAUACGUAGGGGGCGAGCGUUAUCCGGAUUCAUUGGGCGUAAAGCGCGCGUAGGCGGCCCGGCAGGCCGGGGGUCGAAGCGGGGGGCUCAACCCCCCGAAGCCCCCGGAACCUCCGCGGCUUGGGUCCGGUAGGGGAGGGUGGAACACCCGGUGUAGCGGUGGAAUGCGCAGAUAUCGGGUGGAACACCGGUGGCGAAGGCGGCCCUCUGGGCCGAGACCGACGCUGAGGCGCGAAAGCUGGGGGAGCGAACAGGAUUAGAUACCCUGGUAGUCCCAGCCGUAAACGAUGGACGCUAGGUGUGGGGGGACGAUCCCCCCGUGCCGCAGCCAACGCAUUAAGCGUCCCGCCUGGGGAGUACGGCCGCAAGGCUAAAACUCAAAGGAAUUGACGGGGGCCCGCACAAGCAGCGGAGCAUGUGGCUUAAUUCGAAGCAACGCGAAGAACCUUACCAGGGCUUGACAUAUGGGUGAAGCGGGGGAGACCCCGUGGCCGAGAGGAGCCCAUACAGGUGGUGCAUGGCUGUCGUCAGCUCGUGUCGUGAGAUGUUGGGUUAAGUCCCGCAACGAGCGCAACCCCCGCCGCGUGUUGCCAUCGGGUGAUGCCGGGAACCCACGCGGGACCGCCGCCGUCAAGGCGGAGGAGGGCGGGGACGACGUCAAGUCAUCAUGCCCCUUAUGCCCUGGGCUGCACACGUGCUACAAUGGCCGGUACAGAGGGAUGCCACCCCGCGAGGGGGAGCGGAUCCCGGAAAGCCGGCCCCAGUUCGGAUUGGGGGCUGCAACCCGCCCCCAUGAAGUCGGAGUUGCUAGUAAUCGCGGAUCAGCAUGCCGCGGUGAAUGCGUUCCCGGGCCUUGUACACACCGCCCGUCA
rnacentral:rRNA from 1 species